rnacentral:rRNA from 1 species
UACGUAGGGCGCAAGCGUUGUCCGGAAUUAUUGGGCGUAAAGAGCUCGUAGGCGGUUUGUCGCGUCUGCUGUGAAAACCUAAGGCUCAACCUUGGGCUUGCAGUGGGUACGGGCAGACUAGAGUGCGGUAGGGGUGACUGGAAUUCCUGGUGUAGCGGUGGAAUGCGCAGAUAUCAGGAGGAACACCGAUGGCGAAGGCAGGUCACUGGGCCGCAACUGACACUGAGAAGCGAAAGCGUGGGGAGCGAACAGG